rnacentral:misc_RNA from 1 species
UAAUAAAAUAAAUAAAACAAAUAUACUUUCCCCCUUACAUAAAUACAAUUAAUAACACCACAUAAUAUAUAUAAAACAAACAUAAAACUAAAAAAUAAAACAAAAAAAUAAACAAGAAAUAUCAGGCCAAUAUCUUGCGGAUACAAACAACCAUCUUACAUGGAGGAAAUCACACCAGAGUGCAGAAAUGUCAUUUUUUUUUUUUAACUAGAGGAGGGAAAAAACACAAUAUUUCAAUUCCAAGGUAUGAUCCACAAUCAAUUCUAUUUCCAUUUGCAGGCCACAAGCAAUCACCAUAGGCACAAAGCACAAAACACACAAGUACACAUAUUCCAUUGCCUAAUACAACAGCACAAGCAAACUCUAUGAACCAGAUGACAAAAAGAAUAAUGGUAGUUACAGGCGGAAAAUAGUAAUUCACAUAGAUACCAAGAAGGCAAUAUGAGCAACAGUAGAAUCAUUUCAAGCACAUUAUGCUUCAUUGCAUUUUAAUGCAAGGACAGACCAAGCAAAAAC